rnacentral:tRNA from 1 species
GCCUGGAUAGCUCAAUUGGUUAAAGUAUGGUGCUGAUAACGCCAAGGUUGCAGGUUUGAUCCCAGUAUGGGACA